rnacentral:rRNA from 1 species
CCAAUAGCGUAUAUUAAAGUUGCUGCAGUUAAAAAGCUCGUAGUUGAAUUUCGGGAUCAAUAUGUUUGGUCGUGCCUCGGUACGCACUGGCUUAUUGGUUUCUCCCUUCUGACGAACCAUGAUGUCAUUAAUUUGGUGUCAUGGGAAAUCAGGACUGUUACUUUGAAAAAAUUAGAGUGUUUAAAGCAGGCUCACGCUUGAAUACAUUAGCAUGGAAUAAUGAAAUAGGACGUUUGAUUCUAUUUUGUUGGUUUCCAGGAUCGACGUAAUGAUUAAUAGGGAUAGUUGGGGGCAUUAGUAUUCAAUUGUCAGAGGUGAAAUUCUUGGAUUUAUUGAAGACUAACUACUGCGAAAGCAUUUGCCAAGGAUGUUUUCAUUAAUCAAGAACGAAAGUUAGGGGAUCGAAGACGAUCAGAUACCGUCGUAGUCUUAACCAUAAACUAUGCCGACUAGGGAUCGGAUGAUGUUAAUUUUUUAAUGACUCAUUCGGCGCCUUACG